UGUCACGAUCUCACGGUUGUGACCCUGAGCCCCAUGUCGGGCUUUGGGCUGAGCGUGGAGCCUUCUUAAAAUUCUCUCUUUCUCUCCCUUGUUCGCAUGCUCUCACUCUCUGAAAGGAAGACAAGAAAAAAGACAAGAGAAGAAAAGCAGAGUAAUGGAAGGAGGAGGACUGGCCUGGGGAGUGGAGACACCUGGCUUCUCUCUCCAACUCCACCUGUAGCUUGUUCACAGCCCCUCGGUGUCGCUAAGCAGCCUCACUCUGUAAGAGGCAAACAACCCCAUCUCACCUCCUCCAGCUGACACAAGACCAAGUGAGAGGCGUGAUGAGACCUGUUCUUCCAAGGACCAGGGGGCAGAAUCAAGAUGGGUGGAAGUUACAAGGAGGCAGAUUUCAGAUCACCAUCAGGAAGACAUUUCCAUUUACCGAAGUCCUUUCUACAGAUUCCUAAUCACCCAGAAAGCCUUCUCCCCUGGGAACUAGUCGAGCAGCAGACUGGUCAUCUGGCAGUGAUCCCGCACGAGAGGGACUGAACCCUGAGCCAUAAGGCCCCUUUGAAAUGGGACAGUCUGCAUGUUGGUUUAUGUGGAAGGGCUUUGGGAAGAAUGAAUGUGAGGCUAAGCGCUCAGGGGCUCGGACUUCUGGCUACCUUGGUCACUGCAGCAGGAGGAGAAAAAGCUGGAAGGGGGGUCAAGCACCCACCCAGAAGUGAAUCCCGGCACUUCUGGCAUCUCACCGAACAGAAUUAGUCACGUGGCCCUGCCUAACCUCAAGGAGGUGCAUGCAGGAAGCAUAUGCAGAAAGGAGAGAAAAAUGGAUAGAGUCUGACAUUAUGAGACUACUCUGCAAAACCUUCACACUGAGCUUUGUCUCGAAGAUAGCCUUCGGAGCAGUAAUCAGGCCUCCAUUAACUACAGCAGGAAGGGGGACAGCUGUGGAACUAAAGGCAUGCAUCUGGGGAUCCAGGAAGCAUUGGGGAACCCACCAGCACCUGGUAAAGCUUGGGACCCGGGCCAGGUCCAGAGCUGGUGACCUGGGUGAGGUGCAUGCACAUGUAUGGAUGAACACAUAGGAUUCUGGGCAGCUCAGUGGAAGCACAGAGGUGAGGAGAGACCCUUUGCUCCUGACUGCCUCUCCAUGCCUCAAGGGUUCCCAACUGUACCCUGCUUUAGAAUAGGUCAGACUGCUAGAGGAUACUGUUUUUCUGGCCCGCCCAGCACCUAUUCCCCCCCACUUCUGGUAACAGCACCCUGAUUUUCUGCUGGGGAGCCACUCUUCCUCUACUGUCCAUGCUGGU
rnacentral:lncRNA from 1 species